rnacentral:rRNA from 1 species
AGUGAACGCUGGCGGCGUGCCUAAUACAUGCAAGUCGAACGAUGAAGUCCUAGCUUGCUAGGAUGGAUUAGUGGCGCACGGGUGAGUAAUAUAUAGUUAAUCUGCCCUACACAGAGGAACAACAGUUGGAAACGACUGCUAAUACCUCAUACUCCUAUUUGACAUAAGUUAAAUAGGGAAAGUCUUUUCGGUGUAGGAUGAGACUAUAUCGUAUCAGCUAGUUGGUAAGGUAAUGGCUUACCAAGGCUAUGACGCGUAACUGGUCUGAGAGGAUGAUCAGUCACAUUGGAACUGAGACACGGUCCAAACUCCUACGGGAGGGAGCAGUAAGGAAUAUUGCGCAAUGGGGGAAACCCUGACGCAGCAACGCCGCGUGGAGGAUGACACUUUUCGGAGCGUAAACUCCUUUUAUCAGGAAAGAAUAAUGACGGUACCUGAUGAAUAAGCACCGGCUAACUCCGUG